CCAGCUUCCCGCGGUGGAGCAGCAGCACCCACUUUUGCAGUGUGUGAUGUUGGUGGAGCCAUCGAAGUCUGUGCUGGUGUUGCCCGGACAGGUGAUGCAGUGGUUCUGGCCAAACUCGGGCUGGGGAAGCAGCCGGUGCGCCCGGGCUCAGGCUGGUAUGUGCCUACGGGGCAGGCCUGGCAGGGCUUGAAGCCGUCAGCUGAGAAGAAGCCUGGAGAACACUGGCCUGGAAGUCAGAGGUCACAGCUCAGGGUAGGCCUGCACUCGCCUCCACAUUCUGACACGUUGCGGGCACCAGCCAGACCAAGCCCGUCGCUGCUGGGGCACGGUGUGCAACUGAGCUGGCCUUCCGUAUCCUGGAGAACGUGACUAGUGAGCGUGGAACGUGGAACAAAUGGUGGAGGUGGCUGACAUGGCGGGAGCUGUGCAGAAGUUUGAUGAGGAGGAGAAUAUUGGUCCAAACUCAGAAUGUCCCCGGAAAACACUCAUCAAUCACAGAGGGAAAACGAGUGAAAGUGAAGCCACUG